rnacentral:rRNA from 1 species
UACGGGGGGGGGCAAGCGUUGUUCGGAAUUACUGGGCGUAAAGGGCCAGUAGGCGGCCAACUAAGUCCGACGUGAAAUCCCAAGGCUUAACCUUGGAACUGCGUCGGAUACUGGAUGGCUUGAAUUCGGGAGAGGGAUGCAGAAUUCCAGGUGUAGCGGUGAAAUGCGUAGAUAUCUGGAGGAAUACCGGUGGCGAAGGCGGCAUCCUGGACCGACAUUGACGCUGAACGGCGAAAGCUAGGGGAGCAAACAGG